rnacentral:rRNA from 1 species
CCUACGGGGUGCAGCAGUGGGGAAUAUUGCACAAUGGGCGCAAGCCUGAUGCAGCCAUGCCGCGUGUAUGAAGAAGGCCUUCGGGUUGUAAAGUACUUUCAGCGAGGAGGAAGGCAUUAAGGUUAAUAACCUUAGUGAUUGACAUUACUCGCAGAAGAAGCACCGGCUAACUCCGUGCCAGCAGCCGCGGUAAUACGGAGGGUGCAAGCGUUAAUCGGAAUUACUGGGCGUAAAGCGCACGCAGGCGGUCUGUCAAGUCGGAUGUGAAAUCCCCGGGCUCAACCUGGGAACUGCAUUCGAAACUGGUAGGCUAGAGUCUUGUAGAGGGGGGUAGAAUUCCAGGUGUAGCGGUGAAAUGCGUAGAGAUCUGGAGGAAUACCGGUGGCGAAGGCGGCCCCCUGGACAAAGACUGACGCUCAGGUGCGAAAGCGUGGGGAGCAAACAGGAUUAGAUACCCGUGUAGUC